rnacentral:rRNA from 1 species
CAGUAGCCGCGGGAAUACGUAGGUGGCAAGCGUUGUCCGGAAUGAUUGGGCGUAAAGGGCUCGCAGGCGGUUUCUUAAGUCUGAUGUGAAAGCCCCCGGCUCAACCGGGGAGGGUCAUUGGAAACUGGGAAACUUGAGUGCAGAAGAGGAGAGUGGAAUUCCACGUGUAGCGGUGAAAUGCGUAGAGAUGUGGAGGAACACCAGUGGCGAAGGCGACUCUCUGGUCUGUAACUGACGCUGAGGAGCGAAAGCGUGGGGAGCGAACAGGAUUAGAUACCCCCGUAGUCCCUGUCUCUUAUAC